rnacentral:rRNA from 1 species
UACGGGAGGCAGCAGGGGGAAUAUUGGACAAUGGGCGAAAGCCUGAUCCAGCCAUGCCGCAUGAGUGAAGAAGGCCUUCGGGUUGUAAAGCUCUUUUAGUGAGAAAGAUAAUGACGGUACUCACAGAAGAAGUCCUGGCUAACUCCGUGCCAGCAGCCGCGGUAAUACGGAGAGGGCUAGCGUUAUUCGGAAUUAUUGGGCGUAAAGAGCGCGUAGGCUGAUUAGUAAGUUAAAAGUGAAAUCCCAAAGCUUAACUUUGGAAUUGCUUUUUAAAACUGCUAGUCUAGAGAUUGAAAGAGGAUAGAGGAAUUCCUAGUGUAGAGGUGAAAUUCGUAAAUAUUAGGAGGAACACCAGUGGCGAAGGCGUCUAUCUGGCUCAAAUCUGACGCUGAGGCGCGAAGGGCGUGGGGAGCAAACAGGGAUUAGAUACC